UCAAAUCAAGGGUAAUUUAGUCAUUUUGUCUUAGUGGAGCAUUACUAAUUAGCUACGUGGCUUUUACUCCUACCGCCACCUUCCUCUUCCCCCUCAAUUGAAGAGCCAACUUUCCACCGCUGGUUUUCUUCUCCGUUCGGUCUUACAUGCCCUGAAUUUUCCUUCAUUUGAAAUAAUUUUUUCCUCUUCUUAAUUAUUUCUUAGUUCAUUAGUCAUGUGUUUAGGAAUUCAUCAAAUUCUUAAAUUUCAGAGGUCCUGUUUCUUGAUUUUUGCAGGAUAUGUUGUUGGUGUACGAUAAAGAUGCUAAUGAAUUCGGAUUUUAGAAAAGGAAACCAAGGCUAUGGCGGUUGUCCGAAUCACCUUAUUCCAGAAUUAUAAAAGGAUUAAUCCUGCUCUAAAGGAGAUGUGCUUGUAAUAAAGGAGAUGAGCUUGUAAGAGACUUAUUAGCUUUUGAAGGAGAUAGCACAGUGCAGAAGUGCGAGAAGGAGCCUUCAUAUAUCAGUAUUGUUAUUUAUCUUCUCUAAUUUAUUAGCCAUAUUCCUUUUUUUAAAAUUCUCUGCGCGUUGGCCAUAGCUGCUAUUUUUAUUUUUAGGAACAAUAUCAGGUUCAAUGUCAAGCCUCAGAGAGAAUGUUAAGGAGAAUUUUGAAAACAAAGCACAUGGAAGUUAACAUGUCAAACUAUUGGCAGUACAUAAAAUGUUAGUGCCACGUAAGAUUGAAUGUCCAUCUUAGACAACUUUAAACCCAAAGUAUAACGUCAGGGGUAUAUUUAGACCCAAAAUAUAACGAAGAGUAUAUUUGGCCCUUUUUCGAUAGUACAGGGGUAUAUUUGGCCCUUUUCCGUUAAAAAAAAUCUCCAAAUUGACUAUAUUUCAUCCAACGUAUUGAAUUGUGAUUAGAAUUCGAUCACCAAAAUGAGCUACUUAUAGUCUAUAAAGUAGCUUAUUGCAACACUUCAGCAAUACGAAUUAGAACCCUGAUAUAUCGAAGAAAUUCAGGCAGUUACGAAAUGUACAAUCCAAAUGAGCUAAAAUACAUGUAUAAGCAACAUGAGAGUCUUCUUCAGCAAAUGUUACUUCCCACGCAGCACCUUCAUUAACACAUGAACCAGUGUUUCCUGCAUAUUCCAUCACAAGCUUCGUAAGCGUAAAUGAACAGAACAUCCAAGAGGCUUAAUCCUAGGGCUUUCAGAAAUGCAAACUACAGUAGGCAACUUCAAAUGCAAGUGUAGUUUGGUUUGCAAAGAGCAUAAUUAUGACCGUAGUACAAUACUAUAAGCUAAGUCGAAGCUCAAUGUGUUUGCAUCUACUUGCGGCAACAUUUUUUUAACUAUAUAGAAGCAUGGGUUUAGACCCAUGGGUAACCCAUGCUUCGUUCGUUCGUCCGUCCUCCAUUAAAAAAAUAAUGCGUGGGCUCCAUACUAAACACCAAUCAAUAUUUUUUUUAAAAAAAGUGGAGUUCACCAUCUCCAAACUCAUAAAAAAAAAGUGGACCUCAUAUUAACAAAAUCAAGCAAUAUAAAAAAAAAAGUGAAUCACAUAUUAAAAAAAACAAAAAAUGUCAAAACAAAAAGUGCAUCCCAUAUUAAAAAAUCAAGCAAUAUUCAUGUAAUUUUCAAAGUAUCUCAUUAAAUCAAUAAUGAUGGAUUCAUUGUCACAUGCGUAUCAACCCGUUUAGUGCGAGCAAAUGAAAUUAUUGUACAGCAAAAAACAUGGACCUCAUAUUAUUGCUUUUCUUCAAAAGGUUAAGUAGCCAAACUAUACAAUUUUUUUUUUAU